AUUGAACGCUGGCGGCAGGCCUAACACAUGCAAGUCGAGCGAGCGGCGGACGGGUGAGUAAUGUAUGGGAAACUGCCUGAUGGCGGGGGAUAACUACUGGAAACGGUAGCUAAUACCGCAUACCAUCCGAUGUACCCAGCUGGGAUUAGCUAGUAGGUGGGGUAAUGGCUCACCGAGGCGACGAUCCCUAGCUGGUCUGAUAGGAUGAUCAGCCACACUGGAACUGAGACACGGUCCAGACUCCUACGGGAGGCAGCAGUGGGGAAUAUUGCACAAUGGGCGCAAGCCUGAUUCAGCCAUGCCGCGUGUGUGAAGAAGGCCUUCGGGUUGUAAAGCACUUUCAGCGAGGAGGCGUUACUGGCAGAAGAAGCACCGGCUAACUCCGUGCCAGCAGCCGCGGUAAUAC
rnacentral:rRNA from 1 species